AGAGUUUGAUCCUGGCUCAGAGCGAACGCUGGCGGCAGGCCUAACACAUGCAAGUCGAGCGCCCGUAGCAAUACGGGAGCGGCAGACGGGAGAGUAACACGUGGGAACGUACCCUUCAGUUCGGAACAACCAAGGGAAACUUUGGCUAAUACCGGAUACGUCCGUAAGGAGAAAGAUUUAUCGCUGAAGGAUCGGCCCGCGUCUGAUUAGCUAGUUGGUGGGGUAAUGGCUCACCAAGGCGACGAUCAGUAGCUGGUCUGAGAGGAUGAUCAGCCUCAUUGGGACUGAGACACGGCCCAAACUCCUACGGGAGGCAGCAGUGGGGAAUAUUGGACAAUGGGCGCAAGCCUGAUCCAGCCAUGCCGCGUGGGUGAUGAAGGCCCUAGGGUUGUAAAGCCCUUUCGGCGGGGAAGAUAAUGACGGUACCCGCAGAAGAAGCCCCGGCUAACUUCGUGCCAGCAGCCGCGGUAAUACGAAGGGGGCUAGCGUUGCUCGGAAUCACUGGGCGUAAAGCGCACGUAGGCGGCUUCUUAAGUCAGGGGUGAAAUCCUGGAGCUCAACUCCAGAACUGCCUUUGAUACUGAGGAGCUUGAGUCCGGGAGAGGUGAGUGGAACUGCGAGUGUAGAGGUGAAAUUCGUAGAUAUUCGCAAGAACACCAGUGGC
rnacentral:rRNA from 1 species